rnacentral:rRNA from 1 species
UACGAAGGGGGCUAGCGUUGCUCGGAAUUACUGGGCGUAAAGGGCUCGUAGGCGGCCAACUAAGUCAGACGUGAAAUCCCUCGGCUUAACCGGGGAACUGCGUCUGAUACUGGAUGGCUAGAGUGUGGGAGAGGGAUGCGGAAUUCCAGGUGUAGCGGUGAAAUGCGUAGAUAUCUGGAGGAACACCGGUGGCGAAGGCGGCAUCCUGGACCACGACUGACGCUGAGUGAGCGAAAGCCAGGGGAGCAAACGGG